rnacentral:misc_RNA from 1 species
UUUCCAUAGGUGAACCUGCGGAAGGAUCAUUCAUAAUAAAGUGUUUUAUGGCACUUUUUAAAAUCCAUAUCCACCUUGUGUGCAAUGUUAGAUCUCGUCAAUCUUGGCGAGAUUUUUAUACAUCAACUCAUUUUUUAACUAAUUUGUCUGAAAAAUAUUAUGAAUACUUAAUUCAAAAUACAACUUUCAACAACGGAUCUCUUGGCUCUC